GAAAACUUUCCAUCCUUCCUCUCUCUUAAUUUUGUUGUGACCCUAAAAUUGUUCUAAAAAAAUAACGUCUUAAAAAGAACAAUGCAUGUUUCAAAUUUGUGGUUUAAAUGUAGGCCACUUCAUCUGGCCGAUUAAGUCUCCUAGGUGAGGAGCUAUCUUAAAAGAACUAAUUAGAUGAUAUUAUAUCCAAUAAACACCUUUCCUUGGCUGAGCAGGUGGUUUCCGAAGAUGAAAAUUAGCCUGAUGUGGCAGUCACUGUGUUGCCUGACCAGUGAUCUUUCAGCCUUCUGUUUUCCUUGUUAGAGUUCAUCUCCCUAGAGAGGCCCCAAAUGCCAAAAAAAUUGGAUUCCCAGCUUUCUUGAUAGCUAGAGCAUGGGUAUAAGACCCAAGGAUAUCAGAGGAGAAGUCUGCUGAGGGGUUUCUGGGAAAGGCUUUUCUCCCUAAUUACAAAUAAUAAUAAUAAUAAACACUUUUUUCUGUCUUGAUGAUGUUGUAAGUGAAUGUGAUGCCUGCAGCCAUAGCAGCCUUCUUGAGAUUUGAGGAUAAAAGCCAACAUACUGAACAUAUUAUAGCAGAAAGAUGGAAAGAAUAUGGGCUUCUGAUGACAUCUCUAACUUCUGUGCUCACCUUCUGGGUGUAGAAGAAAAUAAAUGUGCUUACUGCUAACAACCUUUAGUUGACUAAUCUGUUGCAAGUAGUCAAAACUAUGUAAUAUAUUAGUAAGCCUUGCCCAACACACUGCAAGACCAAACUGAUUUUCAAAGUGGGCCCAUGUGAAUGAGUGAACAGGGCAAUGGACUGGCCUGUGGGAGUUAGGAAUUUUGCGUUCCACCAUUUCAGUUCUGGCAUCAACUAGUUAAGUGAUUGGUACUGGACAAGUCAUAUAACCUCUUUCGUGUGCCAUGUCCUCACCUGUAAAAUGAGGGAUUCGCAUUGAGAAAGCACUUAGGUCCCUUUCAUCACUAACAUGCUCUGAUUCUGUGUUUAUAGUAGUGUCAGCGCUGGGUUCCCCAGGAAGCAGACUGUGAAUCAGAGAUAAGCUUGGAGAAGGUUUAUUAGGAAGUGCUCUUGGGAUUAUCACCUGUGGAGGGGGCGGGACAGAUGCAGCACUAGCCAGAGGGAGAAAAAGAGCUGCGAUGCAAUCUCAAUGGAACCUGAAGCUGGAAUGUUGGAGUGAGGAGGCCGGGCCUUAUUACCCCACAUCAAUGAGUCACGGGAGGAGGCUGUUCCAGGAAGAGUGUGCAACCUUGGGUGAAAUGUCUCUCUCUCCAGCAAAGACAACCCACGUAAGGGGCUGGUGGCUAAGGGCUUUCUGUGGGGAGCACUCCCAGCAGCUGGAGAAUAUGCUUUCAUUCCUGAAUGGGAUCUGAGUAGCACAUCACAGCAUCCACCAUGGAUAGGAACCAAAGUUUACUUGUGUUAACAACAUAAAGGCCAUUAGCUUUGGAGACUUUGAGAGGCUGCAGGUCACACGAUCACAGAACUUCAUCCACCGUGGUGGAAAAGGAGAAUACAGGCUGUUUUCCUGCCUUCUAUUUUUGUUACCCACCAUAUCUAUUUUAAUGGCAAUUAAACUCUGAUGCCCUCGCUUA